rnacentral:rRNA from 1 species
UUGGAGGGCAAGUCUGGUGCCAGCAGCCGCGGUAAUUCCAGCUCCAAUAGCGUAUAUUAAAGUUGUUGCAGUUAAAAAGCUCGUAGUUGAAUUUCGGGGUUAGUAGGUUGGUCAUGCCUCUGGUAUGUACCGGUCUCACUGAUUCCUCCUUCCUUAUGAACCGUAAUGCCAUUAAUUUGGUGUUGCGGGGAAUUUGGACUGUUACUUUGAAAAAAUUAGAGUGUUUAAAGCAAGCUAACGCUUGAAUACAUUAGCAUGGAAUAAUGAAAUAGGACGUUCG